UGAACGCUGGCGGCAGGCCUAACACAUGCAAGUCGAACGGUAACAGGAAGCAGCUUGCUGCUUCGCUGACGAGUGGCGGACGGGUGAGUAAUGUCUGGGAAACUGCCUGAUGGAGGGGGAUAACUACUGGAAACGGUAGCUAAUACCGCAUAAUGUCGCAAGACCAAAAGAGGGGGACCUUCGGGCCUCUUGCCAUCGGAUGUGCCCAGAUGGGAUUAGCUUGUUGGUGGGGUAACGGCUCACCAAGGCGACGAUCCCUAGCUGGUCUGAGAGGAUGACCAGCCACACUGGAACUGAGACACGGUCCAGACUCCUACGGGAGGCAGCAGUGGGGAAUAUUGCACAAUGGGCGCAAGCCUGAUGCAGCCAUGCCGCGUGUAUGAAGAAGGCCUGGUGUAAGUACCUAAGUUGGAGGAAGGUGUAGAUUAAUACUCUGCUAAUUUGUACGUUACCGUACAGAAUAAGCACGCGUAACU
rnacentral:rRNA from 1 species